rnacentral:rRNA from 1 species
UACGUAGGGUGCAAGCGUUGUCCGGAAUUAUUGGGCGUAAAGAGCUCGUAGGCGGUUUGUCACGUCGGGAGUGAAAACUCAGGGCUCAACCCUGAGCGUGCUUCCGAUACGGGCAGACUAGAGGUAUGCAGGGGAGAACGGAAUUCCUGGUGUAGCGGUGGAAUGCGCAGAUAUCAGGAGGAACACCGGUGGCGAAGGCGGUUCUCUGGGCAUUACCUGACGCUGAGGAGCGAAAGCAUGGGGAGCGAACAGG